UAUUUAAGGAAAUAAUGAAGCACAUUAAUAUUGUAUUUAUGGUUAGUUUAAUAAAAGGCUUAUUAUAUAUUUAGAUGUACCAACCUAUUUCUCUAAAGAUUCUAAGAAUCAUUCUAGUGAUGACACGUGGCUACAAAAAAAUGUUGUAAUGCUUUUCAAAUAAUAUAUAGGGGAAAAUAAAGUUGGCUUUGCUUUCUCCUUAAAGUGCCACAUCAUCAGAAAAAAAAGGCAAAUAAAUACUUUCUACUGUUUUUUUACUUUAUCUCAGCUCCGCAAAACAACCCACAUCCGUAGCCCACCAUCUUCAGCAUCUCCUAAACUACUUCUCACUGCUAGUAGGAGACCUCCACUGUAACAUCUCGCCUUAUGAGACCAUGAUUAACCCUAGUCUCUUAAUAUUGUGGUUCUUAGUUUUGGCUAAGAGACGGUUCUUAACUUUUCUUAUAUUUUAACUAAGAAAAUCUAAGAACCGUCUCUUAAAUAAGAGAUAUAAGAACCGUUUCUUAGCCGAAAAGUAUAAAAAAAACAAAAAAUGUCAAAUCAUGAGUCAAGAACCUCGGCUAAGAGACCGGCAUGUCCUCCAAGCCACGACUCCCACUACCUCGCGUUUAAUUCUCUUUACACCCACCUCCUUCCAAAUUCAGUGAAAUCUAUCCUAUAAAUUGGGAAGAUCAACUCCCAAAAUCUCAUUGCUUCAACUAAUUCAAUGAUACCUCUUGGACUGCUGCUCAUGUUUGAUGAAAAGGUUGUCCCCUCAUUUUUCCACCUCAUGUUUGUGUUUAUGUUUUGAGAUCUGUAAUGAUCGUAUCUGUUAGUGAACUAGACAGUGUGAUUCUUGAGAAGUCCACGAUGAAAACAUUGACAAGUCUGUUGCUUUUGAUCUGUUUGUGAUCUAAAAGCUGGUUAUUUUUCUCACAGGAUGGCCUAUUUACUUGAAGUUCUUUGUUUGUGUACCUAAUGAGGGCUCUUUGAAGGUUUUUAUUGUCUACUCGAAGCUCAGUUGAUCAUAUGAGUUGCUUUGGAGAUGUUGCAGGACGCCUUCAGGAAACCGCUCUAGAUGAAGCCACUAAAGGGAACCGAUACAUCCACUCUUGCUUCAAGUACUUCCAUAAUGAUCUCGAUGUUAGUCUUACCUGAAAAGUGAGGACGCUGCCUAUAUUUUUCUACCAAUGACCAAUUGUCUGUUUUUUUCUCCAGUAGAAAGCAAUGCGGUGAAGGCAGACUGUUGUUCUAAGGAUUCUAAGAAUCAUUCUAGUGAUGACACGUGGCUACAAAAAAAAUGUUGUAAUGCUAGGGGAAAAUAAAGUUGGCUUUGCUUUCUCCUUAAAGUGCCACAUCAUCAGGAAAAAAAAGGCAAAUAAAUACUUUCUACUGUUUUUUUACUUUAUCUCAGCUCCGCAAAACAACCCACAUCCGUAGCCCACCAUCUUCAGCAUCUCCUAAACUACUUCUCACUGCUAGUACGAGACCUCCACUGUAACGUCUCGCCUUAUGAGACCAUGAUUAACCCUAGUCUCUUAAUAUUGUGGUUCUUAGUUUUGGCUAAGAGACGGUUCCUAACUUUUCUUAGAUUUUAACUAAGAAAAUCUAAGAACCGUUUCUUAGCCGAAAAGUGUAAAAAAAAAACAAAAAAUGUCAAAUCAUGAAUCAAGAACCUCGGCUAAGAGACCGGCAUGUUCUCCAAGCCACGACUCCCACUACCUCGCGUUUAAUUCUCUUUACACCCACCUCCUUCCAAAUUCAGUGAAAUCUAUCCUAUAAAUUGGGAAGAUCAACUCCCAAAAUCUCAUUGCUUCAACUAAUUCAAUGAUACCUCUUGGACUGCUGCUCAUGUUUGAUGAAAAGGUUGUCCCCUCAUUUUUCCACCUCAUGUUUGUGUUUAUGUUUUGAGAUCUGUAAUGAUCGUAUCUGUUAGUGAACUAGACAGUGUGAUUCUUGAGAAGUCCACGAUGAAAACAUUGACAAGUCUGUUGCUUUUGAUCUGUUUGUGAUCUAAAAGCUGGUUAUUUUUCUCACAAGAUGGCCUAUUUACUUGAAGUUCUUUGUUUGUGUACCUAAUGAGGGCUCUUUGAAGGUUUUUAUUAUCUACUCGAAGCUCAGUUGAUCAUAUGAGUUGCUUUGGAGAUGUUGCAGGACGCCUUCAGGAAACCGGUAAGAUUAAAAACAGUAAUCUUAUUAAGGCCUUAAAGCAAUAGAUUCAGUUUUCUGUUUAUAAAUGAACAAUCAACUUGAACUGCUUUUUUCUGUGUUGUAUGAAUUUGCAGCUCUAGAUGAAGCCACUAAAGGGAACCGAUACAUCCACUCUUGCUUCAAGUACUUCCAUAAUGAUCUCGAUGUUAGUCUUACCUGAAAAGUGAGGACGCUGCCUAUAUUUUUCUACCAAUGACCAAUUGUCUGUUUUUUUCUCCAGUAGAAAGCAAUGCGGUGAAGGCAGACUGUUGUUCCACGGGUUUUGCGUUUUUGGGAGGGAAAAAAUGUGAAGAAGGGAGGUGAGCUGAUGGCGUCGACAUGGACUUGGUUGAUGAAAAGGUGUUUCGUUUCCCAAUUGCAAUUUGAGUUGCUUUCUUUUCAUUUUAGUCUACAAUUAUUACUUACUUCAUUAUAUAUGGUUCCUUCUGUUGAUCGCAUGCAACCCUUAUUCAGUCUUCCAUUAGCAUCUGUCAACUCAACACGUUCCACCACCUCCUAAGAGAGGGUGCGAUAUAACAAGAAGCAACCAAAACUUAAAAGUCUCAGACUCCCUUGUUGCUAUACACGGAGCAAACAAAAUUCAUUAAAAUAGCAGCAACCAUCAACCCUAUUCCUUAUGAGAUGUUUAGGUUUUUUGCUUAUCAACUACUCAUUCUGGAUUUCCAGAGCCACUGGAAAGCACAUCGCACAUCGUUCGUCAUAACAGCGUCGUCGUUAUACAUAGCACCAUUUGGAAGAGAGUAUGUAGAAAUGGGAAAACUAAAGCUUUCGAGCGUUUUGUUUUAGUGCCACAUGUCACGAUUACAUACUUUUACUUUGUGACGUGACUCAACUUGGAAAGAGUAAACUGUAUUUUACGGUAUAUAAUAAGAUUCUUCUCAAAUUAUUGGUUUAGUAACCCUCUCUUAAAAUACCCAUUAACCAUAUUAACUAAAAAACAAAUCAAAAUACAAUUUAGGCCCAUUACUCUCUAUAUGUGUUUCAAUUUUCUAGCCUACUUAAAACUAUUUAAAUGUUAUUUCAAUAAAUAUUUAUGGUUUAAGAGGACCUUAAUAUAUUGAGUUUUGAAAAAAAAGAAAGAAAGAAAUGUUCCAAUAUAAACAUAUAAAUGAUUUGUCAAUAUUUCCUCAAGAUGCUUGUUAAAUUAUUUUCUAAUAUUUUUAUCAUAACAUUUUACUCAAUUGUAUACAUUAAAUUUAAAGUUGGUUAUAAUUUACAUACGUAAUACCAUAGUUAAUGGUCCUGUUCAUAUUUAUUAAAAAUAUACAUUAUUAUUUUUUAUACUUUUAAUGAAAAUUGAAUCUUAUAUUUUAUAAUACAUAAAUAUUAACUAAAUUUAGUUUAGUUCCUGGCCUAAAUGGUUUCACUAUUUGAAACUCUAAUUCUGGAAUAAUUUUCCCUAGAAAUGGAAAUGUAUUUUCUCCACUGAUAAAAGAGAUUUUUGUGGUAUACAACAACGUAUCAUUUCUGCUUGAAAAAAUCAAAUGCAAAUUAUAGCAUAGAGAUACCUGGCGAUGUACUAUUAUUUUUACCUUUUUUUUUGUAAACACAUUUUAUAAAUUAUGAAAUAUACCACACACUGGAAAUUCCAAAAACAAAUGAAUCUUAGCUGUCCUAAAAAAAA